rnacentral:tRNA from 1 species
AAGUUAGGUUAAACAAACCAAAGACCUUCAAAGUCUAAAAUAAGACCCACUACCCACUUAACUUCU